rnacentral:rRNA from 1 species
AACGUAGGGGACAAGCGUUAUCCGGAUUUACUGGGCGUAAAGCGCCCGUAGGCGGCCUGACAAGUUGGACGUGAAAGCUCCUGGCUUAACUGGGAGAGGCCGUUCAAAACUGUCAAGCUAGAGUCUGGAAGAGGAGAGCGGAAUUCCCGGUGUAGUGGUGGAAUGCGUAGAGAUCGGGAGGAACACCAGUGGCGAAGGCAGCACUCUGGGACGGUACUGACGCUGAGACGCGAAAGCGUGGGGAGCGAACAGG